CGGCGGACGGGUGAGUAACGCGUGGAAAACCUGCCGUAUACUGGGGGAUAACACUUAGAAAUAGGUGCUAAUACCGCAUAAGCGCACAGCUUCGCAUGAAGCGGUGUGAAAAACUCUGGUGGUAUACGAUGGUUCCGCGUCUGAUUAGCUAGUUGGUGGGGUAAUGGCCUACCAAGGCAACGAUCAGUAGCCGGCCUGAGAGGGUGAACGGCCACAUUGGGACUGAGACACGGCCCAAACUCCUACGGGAGGCAGCAG
rnacentral:rRNA from 1 species